rnacentral:tRNA from 1 species
GCCUCCUUAGCUCAGGAGCAGAGGACUGGUCUUGUAAACCAGGGGUCGUGAGUUCGAUUCUCACAGGGGGCA